ACGCAACGCCCAGCGUUAGGAGCCACAAGGCAGGCCAUGGUUUCAUCGAACAGCCGGGAGUGGAGCGGGAUGCUGAAGGAUAGCGGCGCUCACUUCAGUGAGCCCAGCUUGAACCCCACCAUUGGCGUCCUGGGCACCACUCUGAAUAAGCUGCUUCAGUUGUGACUUGUAGCACAAAGUUUCUGUCACCCAGUUCAUCGUCAUCUCUGAACCAAAGCCAUUGGUCCUGCCUGCUAGUCACCACUUGAAUAAAAGUUGGAAUGGU
rnacentral:lncRNA from 1 species